rnacentral:lncRNA from 1 species
CAUUUUAGACAUUUUAAAUUUUAGUUAUCUUGUAAUUUAGUAGUUUAGGAUUUUUAGACAAACUUUUACAUUGUGGGCCAAUGUUGACAAAUUUCAUGAUGGGCCCAAACUUUGAGGGACACAUGGCACCUAGGGUUGGGUGGACCCCACCCUAAUUUUAGAGACACCUCACGGUCUUGGAGAAUGCUCAACCGUCACACGCAUUUAAAAUGUGGCUGCAACGUUUUUGAGAUUACUCUUAUUCUCGGCAGAGGUGCAAUGGGAGCUGCAACAUUCUAGGAGGAACUCUCUCGGCA